ACUUCUCCUCUUUCACUUUUUUUUUUUUUAAAUGGGGUCUCAUGUAACUCCAGUGGCCUGGAACUCUAUAUAGAUCAGACUAACCUGAACUUACAAAGAUCUGCCUGCCUUUGCCUCUGCCUCUUGAGCACUGGGAUUCAAAAGUAUGUUCCAUCAUUCAUGGUUUGUGUGAGAGAGACGCAGAGACAAAGGUGCCAGAAUCUCAUGUAUCCCAGUCAAGUGCUGGGGUUACAGAUCUUCAUACAGGUUUCACCUCAGACUUUUUUUUUUUUUAAGAUGUAUUUAUUUAUUUAAUGUCUAUGAGUACACACUGUAGCUGUACAUAUAGUUGUGAGCCUUCAUCUAGUUGUUGGGAAUUGAAUUUAAGACCUCUGCUUACUCUGGUCAACUCUGCUCACUCUGGCCCAAAGAUUGAUUUAUAAGUACACUGAAGCUGUCUUCAGACAGCACUGAAGAUGGUUGUGAGCCACCAUGUGGUUGCUGGGAUUUGAACUCAGGACCUUCGGAAGAGCCGUCAGUGCUCUUACCGCGGAGCCAUCUUACCAGCCCCUCACCUCAGACUUUUAAUCCCUUAUGUUAAUAGUCCCUUUUGUUGCACUGAACACAUGGGAGCACAGUGAAUGUAUUUUUAUAUUUUAUAUGCUGGCUAUAUCAGUAGACACAGCUUCACCUGUUUUUUUGUUGCUUGUCCUGGUCCCUGUGAACUUGGAUGAUCUCCAUCUUAGGAUCCUGUGCUCCUGCGAAGGCAUCACCAUAAAGCUUGUACUUCACUCUUUUCCAGAUCACCACGUUAAUUAUGUAGAUGUUGUUUUUAACUAGUCACUUAUUGGUAGUCAUUUACAUUAUUUCUGUUUAAAACCAGUGCCCUUACUGAAUGUCCCUGUACACAUAUGUACUUUGUAGGAUGGAUUCCUGGAAGCAUUCACUACUUAGUUAACGAGUAUGUUUAUGGAGCAGAUAAAAAAGAUGUUAUGUAUAUGUUACUUUUUUUAUAUGUUGACAGAUGAGAGGAGUGUGAUUCUCAAAGCUGAAAGAUUUCUCAGCCCUAUUUAACCAGUGAAUUGUGAUUUUUUUUUUUAAAGUAUUGAGGUUCAGGUUUUGCCAAUUAAAUAUUUUAAGUACUAAUCUUAAUGACUUAUUGCUUCUGGAUGUAGUUGGAAAUUAUUUAAAGCAAGUGGCAACUAGUUCUUAGAAAACACUUUGCCAGAGGACAGCAGAGGAGAGUCUGUUCUUGAGGUUGUGGCUGUUGUGAAAUGGUAGGGCUUCCUCUUUCCUCCUGAAGGUGAUAAUGCUUGUCUAAAGAGAUUGACUUGGUGAACUUGUAGAAGUGCAUCCUGGGAGUGAAAUGAGGUGGCACUGGCAGGUGAGUGAAAACAGUCACUAGAAUAAAGUUUGAGUCUUCUUUGGCCAGUAAGCCCAGUUAAAAUGAUAAUGUUUGACCCUCCAGAAAAAGAAGGUUACAAUGAAGAUUCCUGUGUGGGCUUGUCAAAUUCUCAUUCUGUAUAUUUUCUUUCAGAUUCCUUUGUUUCUUCCUCUUCCUCUCAGCCUGUAUCUAUAUUUUCGACCUCACAAGGCAAGUCCAUAACUUUUUUUGCACAUUAAUAAAAAGAAAAAUGUUAAGAAAGAGGCUGUAGCUGAGGAUGAGGUGGGAAUCUUUUAUUGCCCCACAUUUCUUAAAAUGGAAACUAACUACUAGUCCGUCCUUUCUCUACUGAAGAGUUGCCAGUAGUUCCCUGUAAAGACUAAUAUACUUGAAUGAAGCUGAGUGAACCAUUUAUACCGAAGUUUUAAAUGUAGCAUUGACUAUUACUUAAAAAUUAAAAACUUGGCCAGUGAGAUGCCUUCUCAGGUUAAGGUGCCUGUCACCUACCCUAAUAAGCUUAGUUCAGUCCUUAGAACCACGUGGUAGGAGGAGAGAAUCAACUCCCAUAGGUUAUCCUCUGAUCUCCAUCCAUGAAUUAUCUCACGCAUACAGUUUAAAGUGUAUUGGGAAUGGUAGUGCAGCAAUUAAGAGCUCUUGUUGCUUUUCUAGAGGCCUUAGUUUAAUUACCAGCACUUAUGUUAGAUAACUUACUGUAUUUCUAACUUCAUGGAUCAGUGCCCCCUUUAGGCCUCUACAGGCACUGAAUUCUACACAUACAUACCCCCCCACACACACACACACACACCACACAUGCAAUUAAAAAUAAAAUAAAUCCUUGAAAUAUUAAAAGUUUGCAUGUAGCGCUUGGGACUUUUCAAUCCCAGCAUGCACUUAUUAACUUGAACUUAUUUGGAAGAAGAAUGAAAGUAUGCUUCCAAUGACCUACAAAAUAUCAGCCUAGCUACAAGGGUUAAAUGCAAAUCUGAAUGAAAUUUAUCCCAACAGCUAGGCUGUUUUCAGAUGUUUGAAAAUAUUGAACAAGUCAGUUGACUUAUAUCAAUUAAGGCUCCUUAUCCUAGAGAUUAAGCAGUGACUUAAAAAAAAAUCCACUCUGCAAGCAGAAGCAGGAGGAUCUUCUGUGAAUUCCAAGCCAGCCAGAAGUGCACAGCAAGAAGCGCUCUCUCUCUCUCUCUCUCUCUCUCUCUCUCUCUCUCACACACACACACACACAAAAUGUCAACCAAUAGGAAAGAUAUCUUAAGUUAAUAUAGCAGCUCUUGCCAAAAAUUUGGAAAGCAUGAUGUAUGCUUUGUUGAUUAUAAUGUAAAAUGCAUUCUAUUUGUACUGUGGUACUAAACCCGAAUACAGGUCAAUGGGAAACUUACUUUUUAAAGAUAAGAUGAUUAGACUGUAAUAGCUCAAUAAUAGAACACUUGCCUUCCAUGCACAAAUCCUUGGAUUUAGUCCCAGCAUCACCUAAGAUUGGGGGAUCACAUAUAAUUGCAGUCACUAGAUAGAUCUCAAAAGUUCUAUGAAAAAUAUUCAUUGUUCUAGCUGGGAUUUUCUGCAGCUUGGAUGCUGGUUCAUAAGAAAGACUUUGAGCUUAUAAUAAUAAAAACACAGGACUGAGGAUGUAAUUCAAGUUAGAGCACUUGCCUAGUAUACAUGAGGCCCUGAGUUAGAUAUCUAACAAUGUAAAAAUUAAAAGUUAAGGUUUGAAGAGAGAUAGCUCAGUGGUUAAGAGUACUAGCUGUUCUUGCAGAGGAGUAAGGUUCAGUUCCCAGUACCCAUGUGACAACUUAUAACUAUAAAUCUAGUUUGAGGGGAUCCAGUGACAAUUUCUGUCCCCUUAGGCACAAAGUGCACUUAGCAUGUAAAACUUGUACCCACAAAAUAAAUAGAAAUCUUUUUAAAAUUAUAAAAAGAAAGGAUGAAAACUUUAUGAAAUGGUUUCAUUCAGACUGAUAACUUAGCAUUCCUAACUCUGCUAUAAUAUCCUUAAUUGUAUGAUUUUAAGAUAAUAAAAUAUCAGAAUCAUAAUUCUGCUAUCUUAUGAGCUAAGUGUCUUAUGUGCUUACUUUCAAAGAUAGAAGCUUUGUGAGCUCAUAAGUAAUUCACAUAUAUAAAAGUAGUUAUAUUGUUCUGAUAAUUUUAAAUCUAACCAGAUGGCUAUUUUUAAGCUAUUUCCUUCUCAUUAGUUGAUAAUUUAAACAAAUAGAUGUUGAAUUUAUUCUAAUCUGGAAGAAAAAAUAACGUAUUGUAAGUAAAACAAAUAAUUUUUUCCUUCAGCUGUAAAUAUUUCAGAUUUUGAAAAAUACAUCCUGCAUUUGAGUCGCUUUUCACCCAGAAAGGGAAUAGUUGAUGUCCUAGACAGUGAGUGAUGUAACUCAAGGCAGUUCCUAGUAAACAGGGUUAGAAACACAGUGUCACACUGAAAUAGCUCUCUUAGCCCCUUCUUGCAAACAGCACACAUGCACCACAGUAGAACAAAAAUAAGGAAAAGGAAUCAAAGCCUCCCUUUUAAGUAGCUUCAGGGUUACAGUACAUUCUAGUCUUCAUAAGAGCAUGUUGAUCAUUCUUUUGCUUACCAAAGCAUUUUAUUUUGAUGCAUGCAGAUUCAGAGCAUCCUUAUGUAAAGGCAGUUAAUAGUGCUGUAUCCCAGCCUCUUUAGUAGCAUUUCCCUUUC
rnacentral:lncRNA from 1 species